rnacentral:tRNA from 1 species
GGCUUUAUAGUCAAAAAAUGAUGUUAAAUUGCAAGUUUAAAGUUGGGAUAACCCUAAGGCUU